rnacentral:rRNA from 1 species
GACGAACGCUGGCGGCGUGCUUAACACAUGCAAGUCGAACAGUGGCGAACGGGUGAGUAACACGUGAGUAACCUGACCUCCACUUUGGGAUAACUCCGAGAAAUUGGGGCUAAUACUGGAUAGUGGGGGAUGGGCUCGCGGCCUAUCAGUUUGUUGGUGAGGUAGUGGUCACCAAGGGGGGGCGGGUGGCCGGCCUGAGAGGGCAACCGGAAACACUAGGACGGAGACGCGGCCCAGACUCCAACGGGACGCAGCGGUGGAGAAUAUAGCACAAUGGGCGAAAGCGUGAUGCAGCGACGCCGCGUGGGGGAAGACGGCCUUCGGGUUGUAAACCUCUUUCAUCAAGGAAGCGGUACUUGCAGAAGAAGCGCCGGCUAACUACGUACCAGCAGCCGCGGUAAUAC